rnacentral:rRNA from 1 species
AUGACUCGUGGGCGUGGGGUUUCCUCUCUGCUCUUAUGCUGCUUGCUUCUCCUCGCUCCUCACCUCGGCAGCUCCUUCCACACCAGCCACACCCGUGCCGGAAAGCUGCUCGCCGUCCGUUCAGCUGACGGUGCAUCUCCGACGACCUUCUGCUCGGACAUCCCUUCAGGAGAUGGCGGCGGUGGAAUUGCAGGGCGGCUGCCCGUGGUGCAUCGGCAGAACCCGUGCUCUCCUCACGGCGGAGCUAAGAGACAAGGCAAGCCCUCAGAGUCAGAGUCCGCGGCCGACGUCCUCCGCCGCGACGCCCUGGGCCUCCGCUCGCUCUACGGGGACUCCGGCUCGGCGUCGGACGUGACGAUCCCCAGCACCGGCAGCCCUCUCGUGGCUUACCCGGGCGCGUCCGAGUACCACGUCGUCGUCGGCUACGGCACGCCGCUGCAGAGGCUGGCCGUCGGGUUCGACACGGCCAGCACCGGAGUCUCCCUGCUCGCAUGCAAGCCGUGCGCCGCCGACGGGGCGCCGUGCGACAAGGCGUUCGACCAGUCCCGGUCGUCCACGCUCGCCCAAAUCCCCUGCAACUCGCUGGACUGCCCGCUCAGCGCUUGCUCCGGGCCCAGCUGCACCUUCUCCGUCAGCAAGAACGACACCGUGGUGCUCAACGGCACGGUCGUCACGGACACGCUCGCGCUCUCCGGGUCGACCACCAUGCAGGGCUUCAGGUUCGCGUGCCUGGAGACGGGCUACGCCGGAAGCUCCAGAACUGUGGACGACACCCCCUCCGGCGUCCUCGACCUCAGCCGGGACGUCCACUCCCUGGCGUCGCGGGCGCCUUUCUCCCCGGACACGGUGGCCUUCUCGUACUGCCUGCCGCCGGACACGACCUCCCACGGCUUCCUCUCCAUCGCCGCCGCCCGGCCGGAGCUCUCGGGCCGCUUCGUGUGCUACGCCACCCUGCGGACCAACCCCAACCGCCCCAACCUGUACUUGGUCCAGCUCACCGCGAUAAGCGUCGGCGGGAAGGACAUCCCGGUCCCGGCCGCGGGGCUCGCCGGCGACUCGCUGAUCGCGCUCCGCACCACCUUCACCUACCUGAGGCCGGACGUCUACGCGGCCCUCCGCGACGCGUUCGUCGGGCAGAUGGGCCGGUACCGCCACCGCCGCGCGCCGCCGGUGGGGGAGCUGGACACGUGCUACGACUUCGCCGGCCUGCGCUCGGUUCUGCUGCCGGCGAUCGCGCUCCAGUUCGACGGCGGGGCGAGCAUGUACCUUGACAUCGAGCACGUGUUCUACCUCGAGGAACGCCACAACAUCUUUGCCGUGGCGUGCCUCGCGUUCGCCGCGGCGACAGCCUACCCUGUAGGGUCCGAGGUGCCCGUCGCCGUUAUCGGGACGUUGGCGCAGGCGGCAACCGAGGUGGCGUACGACUUGCACGGCGGGAAGGUCGGGUUCGUCCGCGGCAGCUGCUGA